rnacentral:rRNA from 1 species
CAGCAGCCGCGGGAAUACAGAGGGUGCAAGCGUUAAUCGGAUUUACUGGGCGUAAAGCGUGCGUAGGUGGCUGUUUAAGUCGGAUGUGAAAGCCCUGGGCUUAACCUGGGAACUGCAUUCGAUACUGGAUAGCUAGAGAUCGGUAGAGGGCAGCGGAGUUCCGGGUGUAGCGGUGAAAUGCGUAGAUAUCCGGAGGAACACCGAUGGCGAAGGCAACUGCCUGGGCCUGAUCUGACACUGAGGCACGAAAGCGUGGGUAGCAAACAGAAUUAGAUACCCCUGUAGUCCCUGUCUAUUAUAC